rnacentral:rRNA from 1 species
UACGUAGGUGGCAAGCGUUGUCCGGAUUUAUUGGGCGUAAAGAGCGUGUAGGCGGCUAGAUAGGUCCGUUGUGAAAACUCGAGCUCAACCUCGAGACGCCGGUGGAAACCAUCUAGCUAGAGUCCGGAAGAGGAGAGUGGGAAUUCCUGGUGUAGCGGUGAAAUGACGCAGAUAUCAGGAAGAACACCAAUGGCGAAGGCAGCUCUCUGGGACGGUACUGACGCUGAGACGCGAAAGCGUGGGGAGCGAACAGG